GUAAUAUGAAUCUGCAAAGUAGACUAAAAGUACUUGUCCUGUACGAUGUAGUGAUCCUGAGAGGGCAGAAAAUGGAAACAGUCUAGUUAAAUUCAAAUACCUAAACUUUCUUAAAAACAGCAUUCGAGUAAAUAAACCACUUAUUAUAGCUACAUUCCAUUACAAUUAUUACAAUACUACAAACUAUAAUUUAUGGGACUCCAUCCACAUAAGUCUAACUUAGUUGUUAUUGUUUCCAGUCUUUCUAGUUCAUUACUACAAAGUAUAAAAACACAUUACUGACCUCACUUUAACCAUAGUAACUGAAUCUAAUGGCUUUACUUCUAAGAGCGUUAAACAUCUAAAAAUAUCUUCUAUAAACAAAUAUAUACUUUUACAACAAAUAUAAACUCACAUUUGUAUUCACUAC